GUGGGGAAUCUUAGACAAUGGGCGCAAGCCUGAUCUAGCCAUGCCGCGUGAUCGAUGAAGGCCUUAGGGUUGUAAAGAUCUUUCAGUGGGGAAGAUAAUGACUGUACCCACAGAAGAAGCCCCGGCUAACUCCGUGCCAGCAGCCGCGGUAAUACGGAGGGGGCUAGCGUUGUUCGGAAUUACUGGGCGUAAAGCGCACGUAGGCGGAACAGAAAGUCAGAGGUGAAAUCCCAGGGCUCAACCUUGGAACUGCCUUCAAAACUCCUGGUCUGGAGUUCGAGAGAGGUGAGUGGAAUUCCGAGUGUAGAGGUGAAAUUCGUAGAUAUUCGGAGGAACACCAGUGGCGAAGGCGGCUCACUGGCUCGAUACUGACGCUGAGGUGCGAAAGCGUGGGGAGCAAACAGGAUUAGAUACCCGUGUAGUCC
rnacentral:rRNA from 1 species